GUUCGUUUUUGGGAGAUUUAAUGCAAGCAAAUAUUUGACUAUAUAUUGUUUUCUGAGGUUACAACUAUUAAGUUUUACAAGACACUGUCCACCAAAGGAUCAUUAAUUUGAUUCUGCAGCACAAAGACGUGUCCCUGCAAUGCUUCAUCCCAGCGAUGGAGUUUGUUUUUCUUCUGGAUCCUGCUGGAAAGCUACUGGGGUAAAGGUCAGUGGUGAAACGUCACAACUCUGCAACUUGAGUAGGAUAACAACAUUUUCUCAGAGGUCCUCACUUGAAGGGUCGUUCAAGUGAAAUGAUCCGCUGGGAACAGUCCUUGCUAUCUGGGAUUCUUGGGACAUCCCUACACCAUUGAAGUAGAAAUUGAAAAUGGUUAAGUACGGGUUAUGAUUAAGGUUAGGUUUAGGGUUGGAGUUGGGACAUCCCAGUGAACUACGAGCUUCCG
ensembl:lncRNA